AAAGUCGUAACAAGGUUUCCGUAGGUGAACCUGCGGAAGGAUCAUUACCGAGUUAGGGUGCCUAACCCGCGCCCGACCUCCAACCCUUUGUCUACCUGACCUUAUGUUGCUUCGGCAGGCCCGCCUGCCCGGACCUCGCGUCUGGGCGGGCCGCCGGGGGUCUCGCGACCCCGGGCCUGUGCCUGUCGAUGGCCCACACCAAAACUAUUGUUAAAACGUGUCGUCUGAGUUAUCUAAACAAAUGAAAUUAAAACUUUCAACAACGGAUCUCUUGGUUCUG
rnacentral:misc_RNA from 1 species